rnacentral:sRNA from 1 species
GCGUGAAAAUCAGCUCCGUCAACGUCAGCAAAACUUUUUUGAUCUGACGUCAUCGUCGCCGGCCACGUCAUCAUUUGUGACGACACAAGUAGUUGUUCCACGUCUUACACAUCUCGAGGAACGGCUCAUCGAGUUGGGUGUCGAGCACGAAGUUGUGCAGCAUACGCAGAGAUUACAGUCGGAAUUUGAGAAUUAUCAUCAUCUCCAGCAGCAACAUAAUCAUCAGAAUUUCCAACAACAACAACAGGGAAAUCACGAUUUUGUGACCCCGAAA